GCUCCAUUCGCCAAGCGGCCAAGGCAUCGGUCACACCGACAUCCGGCGGUUCGAGUCCGUCAUGGAGCACCA
rnacentral:tRNA from 1 species